rnacentral:rRNA from 1 species
CACGUAGGGAGCAAGCGUUGUCCGGAAUUAUUGGGCGUAAAGAGCUCGUAGGUGGUUCAGUAAGUCGGAUGUGAAAGCUCAGGGCUCAACCCUGGGAUGCAUCCGAUACUGCUGUGACUAGAAUUCGGUAGAGGAGUGUGGAAUUCCUGGUGUAGCGGUGAAAUGCGCAGAUAUCAGGAGGAACACCAACAGCGAAGGCAGCACUCUGGGCCGAUAUUGGCACUGAGGAGCGAAAGCGUGGGGAGCAAACAGG